rnacentral:misc_RNA from 1 species
GCAAGAUCUUGGGAAAUGUAUUGUUGAAAUCCUUACAGAUAUCUUUCUUCUGGAACCUGAUUUGCUUUUGCUAUUCUGUUCAACAUUCCAAGAGACCUGCCUUGGUGUAUUUCAAGAAACAGACAGUUCUAUUGAGAAUGGUGAAGGGGUGACUGAGUUCUUGUCAGUAGUGAAUCAACAAGCAGUAAGGAAAGGUGAAACUUGGCCUCUAGUUUAUUUGGUGGGACCAACAUUGUCGAAGUCAUUCCCCUUGAUUAGAACACUUGAUUCCCCUAAUGCAGUGAGAUUUAUGGUGGCUGCUGUCUCUAUAUUUAGUCCGCGGAAGAUAAUUCAAGAGAUCUUUUGCAUUGAACCCGAAGGAAACCAAUUCUUGCAUGUCUUCAAGGAAACCUUUAUCCCAUGGUGCUUGCAGGCUAACAGUCCCACUACUAGCGUGCGUCUAGAUCUCUUGCUUUCGUUACUUGAUGAUGAAUACUUAGCGGAACAGUGGGCUAGCAUCAUUAUGCAUGCAACAAAUUUGGAAGAACUGAAAUCUGUCAAUGGAAUUGU